rnacentral:rRNA from 1 species
GACGAACGCUGGCGGCGUGCCUAAUACAUGCAAGUAGAACGCUGAAGGAGGAGCGUGCUUCGCGGGAUGAGUUGCGAACGGGUGAGUAACGCGUAGGUAACCGGACUGGUAGCGGGGGAUAACUAUUGGAAACGAUAGCUAAUACCGCAGAAGAUUGACUAUUGCAUGAUAGUCAGUUAAAAGGUGCAAUUGCAUCGCUACCAGAUGGACCUGCGUUGUAUUGGCUGGUUGGUGGGGUAACGGCUCACCACGGCGACGAUACAUAGCCGACCUGAGAGGGGGGUCUGCGAAGCUGGGAUGGAGACACGGCCCAGACUACUAGGGGAGGCAGCCGUAGGGAAUAUUCGGGGAUGGACGGAAGGGUGACCGAGGGACGCCGGGUGAGUGAAGGAGGUAUUCGGGUCGUAAAGCUCGGUUAUGAGAGAGGAACGAGUGUGAGAGUGGAAAGUGCAGACUGUGACGGUACCUGACCAGAAAGGGACGGCUAACUACGUG